rnacentral:tRNA from 1 species
GCCAGCAUGGCUCAGUGGUUGAGCAUUGACCUAUGAGCCAGGAGGUCAGGGUUCGAUUCCCAGUCAGGGCA